GAUGAACGCUGGCGGCGUGCCUAAUACAUGCAAGUCGAGCGAACAGACGAUGAUCUUGUUCCUCUGACGUUAGCCGCGGACGGGUGUGUAACACGUGUAUAACCUACUUAUAUGUCUGGGAUCAUUUCGGGAAACCGGCGCUAAUACCGUAUAAUAUAUUGAUCCGUAUGGUUCAAUAGUGAAAGACGGCUUUGCUGUCACUUAUCGCUGGAUCCCCGCUGCAUUAGCUGGUUGGUAAGGUAACGGCCUUCUAAGGGAACGAUGCGUAGCCGAAUUGAUAGAGUGAUAGGCCGCACGGGAGGUGAGCCACGGUCAAGGCUCCUAAGGGAGGCAGCAGUAGCGAAUGGGAGGCAAUGGGCGAGAGCAUGACGGAGCAACGCCGAGUGAGAGAUGGAGGUCUUCGGAUCGGAAAAAUCUGUUAUUGGGGAAGAACAGAUGUGGAAGUAACUAUACACGUAUUGACGGUACCGAAUAAGAAAGCAACGGCUAACUACGUG
rnacentral:rRNA from 1 species